rnacentral:tRNA from 1 species
GCUCCUGUGGCGGAAUUGGCAGACGCGGUCGACUUAAAAUCGAUUUUUAUUGCGGGUUCGACUCCCGCCAGGAGUA